CCGGCGCUUCGGGAGAGGCCUGCGGCCCAUCAGCUAGUUGGUAGGGUAACGGCCUACCAAGGCAGAGACGGGUAGGGGGCGUGAGAGCGCGGACCCCCACACUGGCACUGCGACACGGGCCAGACUCCUACGGGAGGCAGCAGUAAGGAAUAUUGCGCAAUGGACGAAAGUCAGACGCAGCGACGCCGCGUGGGCGAUGAAGGCCUUCGGGUUGUAAAGCCCUUUUAUGGGGGAAGAGAAAAAGGACGGUACCCCAUGAAUAAGUCCCGGCUAACUACGUGCCAGCAGCCGCGGUAAAACGUAGGGGACAAGCGUUAUCCGGAUUCACUGGGCGUAAAGAGCGUUGAGGCGGUUCCGUAAGUUGGGCGUGAAAGCUCCGGGCUUAACCCGGAGAUGUCGUUCAAUACUGCGGGGCUUGAGGACAGCAGAGGAAGGUGGAAUUCCCGGUGUAGUGGUGAAAUGCGUAGAUAUCGGGAGGAACACCCGUGGCGAAGGCGGCCUUCUGGGCUGUUCCUGACGCUGAAGGCGAAAGCUAGGGGAGCGAACGGGAUUAGAUACCCCGGUAGUCCUAGCUGUAAACGAUGGAUGCUGGGUGUGGGGGGUGUAAAUUCCCUCUGUGCCGAAGCAAACGCGUUAAGCAUCCCGCCUGGGGACUACGGCCGCAAGGCUAAAACUCAAACGAAUUGACGGGGGCCCGCACAAGCAGCGGAGCGUGUGGUUUAAUUCGAUGCUACACGAAGAACCUUACCUGGGUUUGACAUGCACGUGGUAGGGAACCGAAAGGGGACCGACCUUCGGGAGCGUGCACAGGUGCUGCAUGGCUGUCGUCAGCUCGUGCCGUGAGGUGUCGGGUUAAGUCCCGUAACGAGCGCAACCCUUGCCCUUAGUUACAAGUGUCUAAGGGGACUGCCCGGGACAACUGGGAGGAGGGUGGGGAUGACGUCAAGUCAGCAUGGCCUUUAUAUCCAGGGCUACACACACGCUACAAUGGCCAGUACAAUAGGUAGCCAAGUCGUGAGACGGAGCCAAUCCUUAAAGCUGGUCUCAGUUCGAAUUGCAGUCUGCAACUCGACUGCAUGAAGCUGGAGUUGCUAGUAAUCGCAGGUCAGCCAUACU
rnacentral:rRNA from 1 species